rnacentral:rRNA from 1 species
UACGUAGGUGGCGAGCGUUGUCCGGAUUUAUUGGGCGUAAAGCGCCCGCAGGCGGCCUGGCAAGUUUCAGGUGAAAUCUCCCGGCUUAACUGGGAGGGGUCCUGGAAAACUGUCAGGCUUGAGGCAGGGAGAGGGAUGUGGAAUUCCCGGUGUAGUGGUGAAAUGCGUAGAUAUCGGGAGGAACACCAGUGGCGAAGGCGGCAUCCUGGCCCUGUCCUGACGCUCAGGGGCGAAAGCGUGGGGGGCAAACCGG